rnacentral:tRNA from 11 species
GCGCCCGUAGCUCAGAUGGAUAGAGUACAGCCCUCCGAAGGCUGGGGUCACUGGUUCGAAUCCAGUCGGGCGCACCA